GUGCAUGGCCGUUCUUAGUUGGUGAAGUGAUUUGUCUGGUUAAUUCCGAUAACGAAUGAGACUCUAACUAGCAUGCUAACUCGUUAUGUGACCCCCAAGCGCUUAAUAAUUGUUUUCCAACUAUUGAAGUUGGUCUAAUAAAAGAUAUCAGAUUC
rnacentral:ncRNA from 1 species